rnacentral:rRNA from 1 species
GACGAACGCUGGCGGCGUGCCUAAUACAUGCAAGUUGAGCGAUGAAGAUUGGUUCUUGCACCAAUUUGAAGAGCAGCGAACGGGUGAGUAACGCGUGGGGAAUCUGCCUUUGAGCGGGGUACAACAUUUGGAAACGAAUGCUAAUACCGCAUAAUAACUUUAAACAUAAGUGUUAAGUUUGAAAGAUGCAAUUGCAUCACUCAAAGAUGAUCCCGCGUUGUAUUAGCUAGUUGGUGAGGUAAAGGCUCACCAAGGCGAGGAUACAUAGCCGACCUGAGAGGGUGAUCGGCCACAUUGGGACUGAGACACGGCCCAAACUCCUACGGGAGGCAGCAGUAGGGCAUCUUCGGCAAGGGACGAAAGUCUGAGCGAGAAACGCCGAGUGAGUGAAGAAGGUUUUCGGAUCGUAAAACUCUGUUGGUAGAGAAGAAAGCUGGUGAGAGUGGAAAGCUCAUCAAGUGACGGUAACUACCCAGAAAGGGACGGCUAACUACGUG